GGCCCGGUAGUGGAUGGUUCGCGCCUGCUUUCAAUACUUGAUCGUUCCCAAUAUGCAUGCAGGCGUUGUUCGUCCGAAUCGAGCCCGGGCCA